rnacentral:rRNA from 1 species
GACGAACGCUGGCGGCGUGCCUAAUACAUGCGAGUCGAACGCACUCUCGUUUAGAUUGAAGGAGCUUGCUCCUGAUUGAUAAACAUUUGAGUGAGUGGCGGACGGGUGAGUAACACGUGGGUAACCUGCCCUAAAGUGGGGGAUAACAUUUGGAAACAGAUGCUAAUACCGCAUAAAACCUAACACCGCAUGGUGUAGGGUUGAAAGAUGGUUUCGGCUAUCACUUUAGGAUGGACCCGCGGUGCAUUAGUUAGUUGGUGAGGUAAAGGGCUCACCAAGACCGUGAUGCAUAGCCGACCUGAGAGGGUAAUCGGCCACACUGGGACUGAGACACGGCCCAGACUCCUACGGGAGGCAGCAGUAGGGAAUCUUCCACAAUGGACGAAAGUCUGAUGGAGCAACGCCGCGUGAGUGAAGAAGGUUUUCGGAUCGUAAAACUCUAGUUGUUGGAGAAGGAAAUGGUACUAC